UCCCUCAUGGCUGGCCGACAGGCCUCCAAUGGCUUCGGUUUCUUCUGGACCACGGCUGGACUCGUCCUCUGUGCUGGGGUUGCCAUCGGAUUCACUGCAGGAGAGAACAGACGGUAAACUCCGUAAUGCAGGAGGUGAAGAUGACCUGCACCAGGGAGCUCCAUCUGAUCCAGCGGUCAACUUCCACCCUGGAGUCAAUCACUUCUCUUUGCCAAGCUCAGAAGAAAUUUCUGGGAAUUUCUAGACACCAGGAGACGAUGUGUGGACCCUCAACUCCCUCACAGCAUGGCUGGCCGGGGAAUUCUGGGAGCUGAAGCCUGCAAAGUUGCCAAGGUUGAAAAACUCUGCUUUCAAGAGAUAAAAGCCCUGGUUUCUCUUCCACUGCCCCUGUCUCUCAUCCCCUUGCUAUCUCAGUCCUCCCACAGUUACACUUUUCCUCGCCUUGCUUGAUGAAGACUAGUGAGAAACUUGGAAAUCUGCCAUAAGUUGGUCUAAUUAACCUAUGAAGAGAGAAUUCUAGGAUCACCUGCUGGACAGCAGGCUGGACACCAGGGGACGCUGUUGGCUAUGCACGUUUGUUAAUGAUGGAGAAUUCUAAGGCUGGUUACUUAGAAAGGGGGGGGGGAACAGAGACAAAACGACUUAAUAUCUAUAGGUAAUAAGUCCUGUGUGCAGAUAAGAAAUUGCAGUGGUAUGUUGGACAUCCAGGAGUGGGAUUAAAAACAGGGCAGGGAGGCCGAAUCUGUUUUAAAAUCCGGAAUCCGGAAGCACCUUUUCCGACUAACCAAUUUCAGUAGAAAGUUUUGUGAACUGCCUUUUGAUAAAAAUCACAUUUUAUUAAAUCUACUUUAAAAAAAAAUAAAAAUAAAACAUGAACAUGAACGCCCAGAUUCCUAACCUUAACCCUGGCACUUGGAUCACAGGGAAGCCAUUUUGACUUUUCUGACCCUAUAGGGCCCCGCUGCUCCUAACUUUGCUCCCGAGGAAACUAAAGAGAAAACCAGCUGUGAAAUCUUUGCAAUUUGACUUUUGCCACCUGCAAAAGGCAGCCUGGAGGGUCCCUGCUGACGAGGGACAGUGUGCGUGUCUCUAACCCAAAGCCCCAAACAUUCAUAGGGGCAGGAGGAUGAAAAGGAGAGGCUGAGGACCCUUGCAAACCAUUCCCAGCCAGCUCCCCCCCACCCAAAAAUGCUGGCUGCUCCAUGGUUCCAUUUAGGCUGCAGGAAUGUUUCUGUUCUAAACUUAGCUUAGUGGAGCCUGGCCAGAAACAGCUCGUGAGGAGGGUGGGUGUGGGUAGGAUGCUUUCGAGCGAGCUGACUGGGGGCCCCUAUCACAGCAAGGAGGUGGGGGGGACUCAAGCAGAAAUAAACCCCCUCCUCAAAUGUCCUCACGGCCUGGAUGGAUGGAGAGAAUCCCCCCCCCACCAAUCGUAUUCCCUGUUUACCUCCUUAUCGCUCCUGUGAACAUAAAUGGGUAUUUAUGAGUUUUGCACUGAAGGCUUCUGUCUAUCCGCUUUGCAAAUGAACAUUCUGGUCUUUCCAGGCUGCUCCAACCAUCUAUCCCUAUGCUAUCCCGUUUGCUGACUUCACCUACCCUAAGGCAAGGUGUAGUUUUCUCCAUAGGGAGGGAGAAGGAAGUCAUUGGUAGAAAAUGCCCUGGUUGGAUCAGGUCAGAGUAUCAAUGUGUGAAUGAGUUAUGCCAGCAAGGAAGGGUUUGCACGGGAUCUGUUGGAAGGCUGGUCCUUCAGGAUCCUAGUGAGUGCGGGGAGCAAGUGGGAGUGGUUUUUUAAUUAAGGUGGUGCCAAUCAAUCAGAAUAGAGCUGGAAGGGAUAUGAAGGUCUUCUAGUGCAACCCCUGGCUCAAGCAGGAGACCCUCUACCACUUCAGAUAAGUAGCUUGUCUAGUCUCUUCUUAAAAACCUCCAGUGAUGGAGCACCCACAACUUCUGGAGGCAGGUAGUUCCACUGGUUAAUGGUCCUCACUUUUGGAAAGUUUCUCCUUAGUUCUAGGCAGGGGUGAAAUCCAGCAGGUUCUGACGAACCAGCAGUGGAAAUUUGAGUAGUUUGGAGAACUGGCAAAUACCACUUCUGGCUGGUCCCAGAGUAGGGAGGGAAUGGGGAUUUUGCAGUAUCCUUUCCCUGCCACGCCCACCAAGCCACGCUCACAGAACCGGUAGUAAAAAAAUUUGAAUUUCCCCACUAAUUCUAGGUUGCUUCUCUCCUUGUUGAGUUUCAUCCAUUGCUUCUUGUCUUGCUUUCUGGUGCUUUGGAGAAUAGGUUGACCCCCUCCUCUCUGUGGCAGCCCCUCAAAUAACUGGAAGACAGUUAUAUCACCCCUCGUCCUUCUCUUCACUAGAGAGCCGAGCAACACAUCAGGAGCAAACAAUGUUCCAGACCCACCCACCCAAAGUCGACAGAAUAACUGUGAUUUUGCUGGAAGGAUUUUUAAACCCCCUGCCAGAAGCUUUCAGGACUUAUAAGAAACAUGACCAGCCAGCUGGGAUGUGUUUAGACCCCAGGCAGGGAAGGGUUAAAAGGAGGAGAGGAUCCUCUUGGCCUGAGACUCCAUUCCUGAGACCUUUAAAUGGGCACCUCUGCCUGUUUGCUCCUGCGCAGGCCUUGGCACCAGAUGCCAACCAGGCUGGAUUGGGCAGGAUGGUGCAGGAGGGCAAGGUGUG